CCAUCUAGCUCUACAAUCACUAAACGUUGUGUUUUCAAUUAGUGCUCGGAGAGUCUCUCUCUCUCUCUCUCGCGUCUCCACCCUUCCUCCAUUGCCAAUCUUUCGUCUUCCUCCUUCUUCUGGUGGGAGAUGAAGCAGUAACCGAUACCCCCUCAUAAAGCCCUCCUUAAUCAAUUACACACGAUUUUCAUUCAAUGCGAUCCUGGAGAGUGCAAGGCUGUGGAGGCUCUGCUAUAAAAAGACUGGCCGCUCCUCCUCCUCUGUUCAAGUUCGCCUCCUCCGAUUUUGGGAGGCCAGAUACGUCCGGCGUGGGGGAGAGCUUAUGAAAGUCGACAUGCUCCUUCUAGAUUCUCAGGCGACUAUGAUGCCGGCGAAGCUCACAGAGCAGUGGAAAUGGUUUGAUGGUAAAAUAUUAUAUCAGUUUAUGUACAGGGUCACUGUUUCUGUAAGUUGUUUUAAGCUCUUAGUUUUAAGUUUUAAUUUUGAUUCUUACACUAACCAAAUUUUGUUCUUGAUUCAUAUUAUUGUCUGUGAUGUUGUUGUGGUGAUGUUAAUUUAAAAUAUUUGGUUUAUGUUAGCAUUAAAGCGAAACAAUGCAUCAUCUCGCCCUGGAGAUCAUUGGUGUUGGGAAGAAGAAGCUUUAUGCAGCCAAGGUUGAACUUCAAGGAGUCGCAGGAGUUCAAGUCUGCCAAUGACGUUUCCCCUACCAUUACUCCCUUCUAUCUUGGCUGCAAAUAAGGGCUGUGUUUGAUCCAAUGGAAGGAUUAUAAUACUUUUACGCACUAGCUAUCUAUGGAAUGACCCGAGAGAGCAAAAUGAUGGAGCAUCAAGGAUCACAUAUGAUGUGGAGAUGAAAUGAGCUUAUUGCUAAGAACUCUGUUCUUCUUCCCACCUACUCAUUGACACGAAUCUAGGCUGCUGUUUCAUACCUGAUCUUGGGUCAUUUGUGAGAUUCAACAUGUUGGUAACAGAGCUACUUCGAUAGAUCCAUCAUCACCCGAUUGUACGACGAACAACAGCAAUAUCGACAGAAGCCUGAAAACAGAGAACAACAAAAACUCAAAUCUUUGAAGAGAAAUAGAGACAAGACAGGAAGUCACGUCCUUAUUGUUGACCAUCCUCACAAUGAUUCUGAGAUAUGAAGUUUCAAGCUCAUAUCCGAUGAGAAUCAAUGGAAGUCUAAGAAACCAAGAACAAAGAAAGAAAGAGUUGGUUCUUCAAAGAUCAGUUUCCAACAUUCAACUUCUUUGUAUGAUAGUGUCGAGCCAUAUGCAGAGGCAAUUGCACAUAUGAAAGAUAUAAUAUACAAAACGGCUGCGUUUAGACAGGUGAAUAUUCCAUUGUUGAAGAUAAUGGAUCAGAUGAACUUUAUGAAGACCAUUAUAACUUUUUACUUUUAAUUUUCGGACCCAAUAGUUUAUUUGGAGUUGUUAGUGUGUGCUUUUUCUAAGUCUUAAACUUUGGUUUGAACCGUCUGUUUAAUUAACGCAAGUCAUUCUCAACGAA